rnacentral:rRNA from 1 species
AUGGCGAGCGGCGGCGGCCCGAUGACGAAGAAGGAGCUCGGCGAGACCCACGACGUCCUCCGCUUCGGCGUCAACGACAGCGUCCGCGGCGACCUCGCGCCGGCGCACCCCGUCCAGGCCACCAUCCACAAGGAGGCCAAGUUCUGGGAGGAGAAGAAGAAGUUCGGGACGGAGGCCAUCUACGGAUCCGCCUUCAACAUCCGCAGGGAUCUCGACGCCCAGAUCCUCUCCAGGUUCCAAAGGCCCCCAGGUGCAUUGCCAUCAUCUAUGCUAGGAUAUGAGGCGAUGACAGGUUCCUUGGAUGAUUUUGGAUUUGAAGAUUACCUUAACUUGCCCCAAGACUCUGACAGCCUCCGCAUACCGGACAUGCACCACGGGAUGGAGGUCCGCCUUGGCCUGUCGAAGGGGCCUGUCUGCCCCAGUUUCAAUUGA